GUCUGCCGCUGUGCAAGCGGAAAGGGGGCAUGAAUCUGGGCAGCGGGCAGUUUAAGAGGUGGGGUGAAGCGGGCAUCCUUUAGAGAUCAUGCUGUGUGGAGAAAAAGUGUUGCGUUCAGAGUUAAAAGACCCAGUUUUGAACCCCAGGUGUGGAGUGAUACUUUCCCUUUCUGGAUCCUAAACUAAAAAUGAGUGCCUUAGCUUUGAUCACUUUCCUUCCCUUUCCUGCUCCCCACUAAGUUUUUGUUUUUGUUUUUGUUUUUCCUCUUUACUGAGUUGUCUCCCUCUGGCCCCGUGAAUCAGCCUUGUUGCAAGCCACGCGUGUAGUUAGAGGAUCUGAGCCAGAAGCACCUCCUGGAAGAAAGCAAAGGGCGCUUCUGAGCGUGCCAGAGGCGGCCGCAGUCCCACAUGCUUCUUACUCUCUGCAGAAAGCCGGGGGAGAGACAGCGCGCCAAAAUUUCUCUCUCCUCUCGGGUCAUUCCAAAGGGCAAGUAUCUAUCUCGUCAUAUCCCCCCUGUGACAAAGUAACCAGGACUAUGGGAAUGGGAAGCUGCGGUGAGCAGAUUUACAAUCAGUUAUAUAGCAGGCUGUAAAUCCUACGAUCCUAUGAAUUUGCUUUUCCCGCUGACAUUUCGUUCAAGGCAAGCUCCUUUCCCUCUGGUGUGUUUCCAGUGAAAGCCUUGGGGCAAGUCAGUAAAUGAGAGGUUCUUAUCCCCACCCCCCAGAUGUACAAGAUUAAAAAGCCACAUAGAAUAUCCACCCAGAUGCCACCAUCUAGAUUCUUUUCUACAAGCUUGGAAACAACAUUUUGAGUUCCAAAAAUAUCUGAAGAGUGAAUUCCUGGCAUACCUAGAAAGAUAUGGAGAAGGAUGAACUAGGGGUGUGAUGAAAAAAGCCAGAAGGUGGGAUUAAGAGACACAGAUCCAGAAAGCAGCUUCAAGGAGUAUGAGCCAUGACAGCAAAGAAGAUGGGUUCAAGGAACAAAUGACUUUAUCACUGGGAGUUAACUUGAAGAGAGGAGUACUCCAAAAGUCCUUUCAGAGAUGCUGUUCUCGGUUGAGGGAACACAAGGACACUACAAAAAAGAGAAAGGACACUGGACCCCUGAAUGAGCUGUCUCACUCUCUUUCCCCUACAUGAUUGUCUCCAGGUGUAUUUAAAGAUUUUUGCCUACCA